rnacentral:rRNA from 1 species
AUUGAACGCUGGCGGCAGGCCUAACACAUGCAAGUCGAAUGGUAACAGGAAACAGCUUGCUGUUUCGCUGACGAGUGGCGGACGGGUGAGUAAUGUCUGGGAAACUGCCUGAUGGAGGGGGAUAACUACUGGAAACGGUAGCUAAUACCGCAUAACGUCGCAAGACCAAAGAGGGGGACCUUCGGGCCUCUUGCCAUCAGAUGUGCCCAGAUGGGAUUAGCUAGUAGGUGGGGUAACGGCUCACCUAGGCGACGAUCCCUAGCUGGUCUGAGAGGAUGACCAGCCACACUGGAACUGAGACACGGUCCAGACCCCUACGGGAGGCAGCAGUGGGGAAUAUUGCACAAUGGGCGCAAGCCUGAUGCAGCCAUGCCGCGUGUAUGAAGAAGGCCUUCGGGUUGUAAAGUACUUUCAGCGGGGAGGAAGGGAGUAAAGUUAAUACCUUUGCUCAUUGACGUUACCCGCAGAAGAAGCACCGGCUAACUCCGUGCCAGCAGCCGCGGUAAUACGGAGGGUGCAAGCGUUAAUCGGAAUUACUGGGCGUAAAGCGCACGCAGGCGGUUUGUUAAGUCAGAUGUGAAAUCCCCGGGCUCAACCUGGGAACUGCAUCUGAUACUGGCAAGCUUGAGUCUCGUAGAGGGGGGUAGAAUUCCAGGUGUAGCGGUGAAAUGCGUAGAGAUCUGGAGGAAUACCGGUGGCGAAGG